GACGAACGCUGGCGGCGUGCUUAACACAUGCAAGUCGAACGGAAAGGCCCUGCUUUUGUGGGGUGCUCGAGUGGCGAACGGGUGUGUAACACGUGAGUAACCUGCCCUUGACUUUGGGAUAACUUCAGGAAACUGGGGCUAAUACCGGAUAGGAGCUCCUGCUGCAGGGUGGGGGGGGGAAAGUUUCGGCGGUGGGGGAUGGACUCGCGGCUUAUCCGCUUGUUGGUGGGGUAGUGGCUUACCAAGGCUUUGACGGGUAGCCGGCCUGAGAGGGUGACCGGCAACAUUGGGACUGAGAUACGGCCCAGACUCCUACGGGAGGCAGCAGUGGGGAAUAUUGCACAAUGGGCGGAAGCCUGAUGCAGCAACGCCGCGUGCGGGAUGACGGCCUUCGGGUUGUAAACCGCUUUCGCCUGUGACGAAGCGUGAGUGACGGUAAUGGGUAAAGAAGCACCGGCUAACUACGUG
rnacentral:rRNA from 1 species